UACGGGGGGUGCGAGCGUUGCUCGGAAUCACUGGGCGUAAAGGGUGCGUAGGCGGGUCUUUUAAGUCAGGGGUGAAAUCCUGGAGCUCAACUCCAGAACUGCCUUUGAUACUGGUAGUCUUGAGUUCGAGAGAGGUGAGUGGAAUUCCGAGUGUAGAGGUGAAAUUCGUAGAUAUUCGGAGGAACACCAGUGGCGAAGGCGGCUCACUGGCUCGAUACUGACGCUGAGGUGCGAAAGCGUGGGGGAGCAAACAGG
rnacentral:rRNA from 1 species